rnacentral:rRNA from 1 species
GCCUGUUUACCAAAAACAUCACCUCCAGCAUCCCUAGUAUUGGAGGCACUGCCUGCCCAGUGACUAAACGUUAAACGGCCGCGGUAUUCUGACCGUGCAAAGGUAGCAUAAUCAUUUGUUCUCUAAAUAAGGACUUGUAUGAACGGCCACACGAGGGUUUUACUGUCUCUUACUUCCAAUCAGUGAAAUUGACCUUCCCGUGAAGAGGCGGGAAUAAAUUAACAAGACGAGAAGACCCUAUGGAGCUUUAACUAACUAGCCCAAAAAGAAAUAUACUUAACCACCAAGGGAUAACAAUACCCUUUAUGGACUAGCAGUUUUGGUUGGGGUGACCUCGGAGAACAAGAAAACCUCCGAGCGAUUUUAAAAACUAGACCUACAAGUCAAACCAAAUUAUCGCUUAUUGAUCCAAAAUAUUUGAUCAACGGAACAAGUUACCCUAGGGAUAACAGCGCAAUCCUAUUCAAGAGUCCAUAUCGACAAUAGGGUUUACGACCUCGAUGUUGGAUCAGGACACCCCGAUGGUGCAACCGCUAUCAAAGGUUCGUUUGUUCAACGAUUAAAGUCCUACGUGAUCUGAGUUCAGACCGG